UGGAACAACAUACAAUGCCGUGGGAAGCAACCGAACAACUGAAAACUCAUAAACCCAUUCUGCAACAAAUACCAUAUAAUCUCAUAGGUGAAGAAGACAAGAAGAACAAGAGAAAAAUGUGAGUCUUUUUCCGGUGAUGGUGAGAAGCACCGCACACCAGAUUUGUAACGAAAUACAUAGACGGUGAGGGCUCAAGUUUAAAAUAUGGGGAGAAGGCAAAAAACAUCUUAAAAAUUAUAAUUUUCAAAAGUAUGAAAAAAAUAUAAUACAAUUUUGACGAUGAAACCGUUAAUCUUAGAAUCAACAAAUGCGUAGAUGCAAAGUUAUUGAAAUUCAAUAUUAGUUUACGUUAGAAGCUCAUUUGACUACUAACAAGUACUAUAUACACAACAACACAUUAUUCAAAAAAAAACAAACGCAAAAUAUAUUAACUUAUCACCUACUACAUAACAAACUAAAAACAUCAAAUAAUGAUCUUAACAAAUAAAAACGAUAACAUAAUUACAUUAUCCAAAAAUAAAAUCAUGCUCUUAGCAAUAAUAAAACAAUAUUCCGCGCGAAAAAGUUAACUUUUAGUUGACAUGAAUGUUUCUAACGUACUAGAAAAAAAAAAUAUGUCAAUGUAGAAGUGGAACUCAAUGCAAAAAAUUCAUCAUUAUGCCCAAAAAAAAUAGAAAAACAAUCUUUAUCACAUUAAAAAAAAAGUCGAUGAGCAGGUGAAGGAAGGAAUGAGGGUUUCAGGGAGUAGUCGUGGCUUCUAAUCAACAUCCACCUUCUUCCACGAAAACAAGCAAUUCCAUCAAACGUGAAAGCAAGUUUUCCUUCAAUUUUUUUUGCUUGUUACUCUUAAGCAAAAUAUUUCGACAAAAACAGACAUUCUUUAAUACUUCCAUCCCCUCUUCUGUCUGAUCCUCAACCUAUUUCUUGUCUCGAUCAAAGCCUUCAUGUUGUUGUUAUAGCUUCUCAAGAACAAGAUACAACACAACCAGCCGCGACUUUGCAAGUUAAUGCUUCUAAUGGAGCUGGAAGAGUCAUUCCUGAUACUCUUUUCGGCAUUUUCUUCAAGGAGAUAAACCAUGCUGGUGCUGGCUGAACUCGUUAGCGACAGAGGGCUUGAAACUGGUGGGCCGUUCAUUAUGCUUUGAAGACAUUGGAGCAGCCCCAAUUUGGGUGUUCAACAACGGUAGUCUCGUAACAUUCUGUUUGUAUUCCACAUCCAUUGACGUUGUUGUUCUUUACAAGUGCUUCAACCUUUAUGCAGGGAUUAGUCAUAAGAUGAAGUUGAAACCGCCAGUAUUCAUUGCCUUUUGUUCAAGAAGCACUUGAUGGUAUCGAGUUUGCUCAGAGGAGAUGCUAACUCUACAUGGGGAUCUGUUGGAGCUCUAAUCGGACGCCAAGAGCCUUUUGAACUGAAGAAACUACAUUGUGUUAUAUGAUACUAUCAAAAAGGCUUACUCUCAGAUAUCAAAAUCAUCUCCAACUGUGAUGGAUCAUCUAGUCUGCUUGACCAUCCUGCUGAUUACUAUGAUUUUCAUAUAUACACUUCUGCUAGCAGUUUGUUUUCCAUGUAUCAUCAAUUCGACGGCACUUCACGCAAGGGUCCAAGGGUGUUGUUGUUAUAGAUUAUAUGAGGCUUUUUAGCGUUAUCUUUGCUCACUCGUGCAACUUUUUUUUGCAGGAUUUUGUCAGUGAGUAUGCUGUGACUGGAAAAGAUGCUGUUGGGUUCUUCCUAGAUGGAGUUAACCCAUUGGGUUUGGUUUUGACAACCAAAUUUGGUGUUGGGCAAUGGUAUUAGCACAUGAGGUUAGUAUUGGGCCUUGGGAGUUAAUGAUCCAUAAUGUAAGUCUCCUAACCUAAUUUAGAGAGUGGUUGCAGACACAACACGAGCAGACAAGAUCAGACUCACAAUAAUAGAGUUUAGAGAGAGACAAAAGAGAGAAAGAAGAGAGAAGGAGGAGAAAACUCGUCAGGCUAUUUCAAGACUGGUUUUGGAGGAUCAAACGGAAGUUGAUCGGGCUGAUAUUUUGUGGAAAGGUCAGUGGGUUAGAGGUUCACCGAAGGGAUUUGGAUUUCAAAGGUUGGAUUUUCUGUUGUCUGGGUUUUAGUGAAGCUGGUCGUCACAGUUCUUCAGCGGGACAGUCUUGGGUGUUUGGUAAAUCCGACGGUGAGAUCUUCUCUUCUUGCAAUGAAAUUUGGCAGAUGUAUUUUUGACUUGUUUAUCUUGGAUUUGUACGGUUGGAUUAGUCUCUGGAUGCCGGAAUCCUUGUGAGCUGAGGUCGUUUGGUUGCUGCCGGUUUUGAAGCUUUGUGUUGCUCUCUUGUUGUUGUUGUUGUUUGUGUUGGAGAUAGCUCUUUGAAGCUAGUGUCUCUGUUCUGUUCUGGUUGUUGAACAGGGAGGACGUGGUUGUACUCACAAACAUUUAUAUAGUGGAUUGUUGAGUGGACUACGGUCCCGUGGUUUUUCCUUCUCACAUCGAAGAGGUUUUCCACUUAAAAAGUGAUUGUCUCAUUUACGUUUCUGCUUAUACUAUAUUCUGCCAUCGUCGAAGUAUUUUCUUCACAGGUUCACACAAGGUCAGGGGAACACGACCAUUAGUAUUUCCGCUGCGCUCUGUGACUUUCCCCAACAGAAUGGUAUCAGAGCUUCUGGUUUUAGAGCUUUGGUUUUGAUAACUUUGGGUUAUUACUUGCUUGUGUGAAAGAUGAAAAAUAUGAGCAGGAUGAUAAGCUUGAAUGGUGCUAACUAUCAUCUAUGGAAGAGCAAGAUGGAGGAUUUGCUCUUUGUUAAAGAAUUCCAUGUUCCAGUCUUCGAGGAGAAGAAACCUGAGAAGAAGACGGAUGAAGAGUGGAAACUGCAGCAUCGUCAAGUGUGUGGGUUGAUAAGGCAGUGGGUAGAUGAUAAUGUGUUGCAUCAUAUUGAGACUGAGACGGAUGCUCGUUCUUUGUGGAAGAAGCUGGAGCAGUUAUAUGCUAGGAAGACCGGA